GAUGAGUUGUGGGUAGGGGUGAAAGGCUAAUCAAACUCCGUGAUAGCUGGUUCUCCCCGAAAUGCAUUUAGGUGCAGCGUUGCAUGUUGAGCGUGGUGGAGGUAGAGCGACUGGUUGGUUGAGCGGGA
rnacentral:rRNA from 1 species